UCAAGUGUUUAAGGGCGCACGGUGGAUGCCUUGGCACCAGGAGCCGAUGAAGGACGUGGGAGCCUGCGAUAAGCCUCGGGGAGUCGGCAACCAGGCUGUGAUCCGGGGAUUUCCGAAUGGGGGAACCUGGCACCCGUCAUGGGGUGUCGCCGCCGUCUGAAUGUAUAGGGCGGUUGGUGGGAACGCGGGGAAGUGAAACAUCUCAGUACCCGCAGGAAGAGAAAACAAUAGUGAUUCCGUGAGUAGUGGUGAGCGAAAGCGGAGGAGCCUAAACCGUGCACGUGUGGAUAGCCGGCAGGUGUUGCGUGUGCGGGGUUGUGGGACCACCCUGACCUAGCUGCCGAUGGGUCGAAGAGUUAUAAAGUCUCGUGAUAGCCGAACGGCUUGGGAUGGCCGACCGUAGACGGUGAGAGUCCGGUAGGUGAAAUUGCGGGGCCUCUUGGGUGUGUUCCCGAGUAGCACGGAGCCCGUGGAAUUCCGUGUGAAUCUGCCACGACCACGUGGUAAGGCUGAAUACUUCCUGGUGACCGAUAGUGGACCAGUACCGUGAGGGAAAGGUGAAAAGUGCCCCGGUGAGGGGUUGUGAAAGAGUACCUGAAACCGUGUGCCUACAAGCCGUCAGAGCCUGGACCUUCUUCUUCGGAGGAGGGGAGACCGGUGAUGGCGUGCCUUUUGAAGAAUGAGCCUGCGAGUUACGGUGUGUGGCGAGGUUAACCGGUGUCGGGUAGCCGUAGCGAAAGCGAGUCUGAAGAGGGCGUCAUAGUCGCAUGCUGUAGACCCGAAGCGGGGUGAUCUAGCCAUGGGCAGGGUGAAGCGCCGGUAAGACGGUGUGGAGGCCCGAACCCACCAGGGUUGAAAACCUGGGGGAUGACCUGUGGCUAGGGGUGAAAGGCCAAUCAAACUCCGUGAUAGCUGGUUCUCCCCGAAAUGCAUUUCGGUGCAGCGUCGCGUGUUUCUUGCCGGAGGUAGAGCUACUGGGUGGCUGAUGGGCCCGACAAGGUUACUGACGUCAGCCAAACUCCGAAUGCCGGUAAGUGAGAGCGCGGCAGUGAGACUGCGGGGGAUAAGCUUCGUAGUCGAGAGGGAAACAGCCCAGAUCAUCGGCUAAGGCCCCGAAGCGUGUGCUAAGUGGGAAAGGAUGUGGAGUUGCCGUGACAACCAGGAGGUUGGCUUAGAAGCAGCCAUCCUUGAAAGAGUGCGUAAUAGCUCACUGGUCAAGUGAUUCCGCGCCGACAAUGUAGCGGGGCUCAAGCACACCGCCGAAGCCGUGGCAUUGCGCCCGUGUGGGUGUGAUGGGUAGGGGAGCGUCCUGUGGCCGGUGAAGCCGUGGAGUGAUCCAACGGUGGAGGCUAUGGGAGUGAGAAUGCAGGCAUGAGUAGCGAUUCACACGUGGGAAACGUGUGCGCCGGAUGACUAAGGGUUCCUGGGGCAGGCUGAUCCGCCCAGGGUAAGUCGGGACCUAAGGCGAGGCCGUGAGGCGUAGUCGAUGGGCAACGGGUUGAUAUUCCCGUACCCGCUGGUACGCGCCAGCGCUGAGGCCGUUGAUGCUAACCAUCCGACCCGCCUGGGGAGCCUUCGGGUUUCCUUGUGUGGGUUGCGUGGGGCCCGAGACGGUAGUAGGUGAGCGAUGGGGUGACGCAGGAGGGUAGCUCAGCCCAGGCGGUGGUUGUCCUGGGGUAAGC
rnacentral:rRNA from 1 species